rnacentral:rRNA from 1 species
UACGGGGGGGAGCAAGCGUUGUUCGGAUUUACUGGGCGUAAAGGGCGCGUAGGCGGCCACCGCAAGUCGACUGUGAAAUCUCCGGGCUUAACCCGGAAAGGUCAGCCGAUACUGCGGGGCUAGAGUGCAGAAGGGGCAACUGGAAUUCUCGGUGGUAGCGGUGAAAUGCGCAGAUAUCAGGAAGAACACCAACGGCGAAGGCAGCUCGCUGGGACGGUACUGACGCUGAGACGCGAAAGCGUGGGGAGCGAACAGG